GAGGGAAUAGCUCAGUGGUAGAGUGCAUGCCUAGCAUGCAUGAGGUCCUGGGUUCAAUCCCCGGUACCUCCA
rnacentral:tRNA from 1 species